rnacentral:rRNA from 1 species
UAGUGAGUUUGAUCCUGGCUCAGAACGAACGCUGGCGGCAUGCCUAACACAUGCAAGUCGAACGAACCCUUCGGGGUUAGUGGCACACGGGUGCGUAACGCGUGGGAACCUUCCUAGGGUACGGAACAACUCAGGGAAACUUGAGCUAAUACCGGAUAAUGUCUUCGGACCAAAGAUUUAUCGCCUUUAGAUGGGCCCGCGUAAGAUUAGCUAGUUGGUGGGGUAAAGGCCUACCAAGGCGACGAUCUUUAGCUGGUCUGAGAGGAUGAUCAGCCACACUGGGGGCUGAGACACGGCCCAGACUCCUACGGGAGGCAGCAGUGGGGAAUUUUCCGCAAUGGGCGAAAGCCUGACGGAGCAAGACCGCGUGAGGGGA